UUUGCUACUCCGUUUAUAAAA
rnacentral:piRNA from 1 species